rnacentral:sRNA from 1 species
UAGAACAUGAUCAGUGAGACGUAUGGUU